AACGAACGCUGGCGGCAUGCCUAACACAUGCAAGUCGAACGAGACCUUCGGGUCUUGUUGCGCAGGGGUGCGUAACGAGGGGGAAGUUGCCCUUAGGUUACGAAUAACUCACCGAAGGGGGUGCUAAUGACAGAUGAUGUAUUAGGACAAAAGAUUUAUCGCCUUUGGAUGGGGCCGCGUUAGAUUAGCUGGUUGGUAGGGUAUAAGCAUACCAAGGCGACGUUGCAUAGCUGGUCUGAGAGGAUGAUCAGCCAGGCUGGUACUGAGGCACGGCCCAGACUCCUACGGGAGGCUGCAGUAGGGAGUAUUGGGCAAUGGACGAUAGUGUAGUCCAGCAGUGCCGCGUGAGUGGUGAAGGCGUUAGGGUUGUAAAUCUCCUUUAGCCGAGGUGAUAGUGACAGUACCGGGUGAAUAAGCUCCGGCUAACUCCGUG
rnacentral:rRNA from 1 species